AUAAAAUGCUCUCUGACCUUGAAAAGUAUGCUCAAGGUAUUGUUGAAACCAAGGCUAAGGAAGAGGCUGGAAGAGCGUUGAUGCGCAUGAAGGAUAGAUUUGCUACAAUCUUCAGCCAUGAUUCUGAUUCA